CUCACUUUCUCACUCUCUCUCUCAGUCCCGUCUUAAACGUUACUCGUGUCGCAUCUCCACCAGUCAAUCAGUCAGUCAGUCAGUCAGCCUGCCAGAAAACUAGUCAGCCAGUCAAUCAGUAAUCCGAUACGCAUGCACACACGCACGCACGCACGCACGCACGCACGCACGCACGCAAAGUGUUAGUUAUUACGUGUGGAAAGAGUAUUGCGUGUUCUACUACUACUUCUACUACUACUAUUACUACUACUGCCGUGAAGACAUCAACCCGACCUGAGCCGACUGUGGGAGUGACAAAUGGUUCCCUGGACGCCGUGUGUCACCGGAUUGCAGGCGAGCGUCAGGCGGACCAUGAGUCGGGACGCUGGCAAGUCCGUUGACCAGAACCUGACCAGGAAAAUUCAAGAAGCGUGGCCUUGACCUUGCUCAGCAGUUGUGCCCUCACCUGACCUACGUUAUGUUGCUCUGCGUUCAUUGUUUCUGGCAAACCAAGCAAAAACCGAGUCACCUUAUUGGUCGACAAGAGAUCACCAUCAGCCCUCCCUUUGGCCCAGAGCUUCAUUGAUUGUGAUUGGACAGCUGGCUUGGUGGGUGACCUGACCUGAUCUCAACCAAGCCAACACGAUUUACGUUUUCCUCGUUGACAUUGGCACCAUGAUGACCUCUGACAUGAACCUGGCACUAGAGAGUGUUGAGGUACUGAAGGGCGCAAUGCACAAUGCUGUCAAGGUGCCCCAAAACACACAGGCACAGGUGCAGGGGUGCCUCAACAUGCCAGCCACCUACAACACUGUGGUGGCACGGACACAGUUAGCACACCAGUUUUACGAGCACGUCAGUGAGGUAGCCAGAAUGUGUUGCCAACUUGUUCAUGACCAGCACCUGCAGCAGCAAGGCUGGGCAGCAGUGGUGGCCAGCUUGGAGGACAUUGUGGCAGCCUUCAGAGCAAGACAUGACGCAUUCCAGCAAAACUUUGUGGAGUAUCUCAGUGGCCGGGAGGAGAAGGUUGCCCUGCUUCAGUUUUGUGUGUGUCUCCACUCUUCCUGGCAACUCACCAAUGGGGAGAGGAGGAGGAGGAGGAGGAGGAGAAGAGAGAAGAGAGGAGGAAAGAGAUAGAAAAAUGGUUGGAGUGUGUAGUGUAGGAUAAUGACUAUGAUUGGGCUGACUUGCUGUAUCUUGAUUUAUUGAUUGAUUCAGCCUGCAAAUUUAAUGUCAACAUAAACACAGCAUACCUCAAUAUCAUGUAACUCCCUUCAAUAUCUUGUAACUUCACCCAGUAAACAGAAGAAUAACAUAAGAUGAACACAUAUCCCAUUCUAUUAUUCACUAUUGCAAUGACACACGAUACAUAUAAAAUAGUACUCACAAAAUGACCGCCCAUCAUCAGCCAAGGCAGACUUCACCAUAUGUCUGAUUACAGCAUUACCCCAACUAUGCUGCAAAGUUACACUUAAUCAAAUCCUCCUAUCAGCACCGCAUUCAAUAUAACACCAACCAAUAUGCACAAUCAGCGGCAUAACAUAAGUCAAACAAAUCAGAGAAAUAAUGUUAUCACAAAACUCACCUCAGUCAAACAACCGCCACUCACCCCUGACAGGCACCAACUGUACCUCUGCCUACCUUCCCCCUACACCCUGAGUGCGGUAUAAUAUAUAUCCGUGUUACAUACACAGACCCUAAAAGAAAACUUCCUCUUGACAAACAAAUACACAUUACUAACCAAUACCAAACUUGUUAAUAAGUAAGAAAACAAUAUAUGUAUCUCAAUAAUAAUUACAAUUCUUGUCAUAUAUGCCAAUAACAAUUAUACAGUAACUGGAAUACAACCCGUGUCUACACCUCUUUCCAACCAAUGACAGCGACACACACUGCCCGCUCCACAUUCAAAGGUGCCAACAUUGACAUUAUAAUUCUAAUAUGAUGAGAAUCAUAUUACAGAGUGUAUGAGUGUGUGUCUGUCUGUCACUACUACUACUACUACUACUACUGCUACUACUAGUUUUGAAGAGGACCUGAAGCUACUGGCAAGGAUUCCAGUCUUCCCUGAAUUCUUUUUGGGGAAGACACAAGAGGAAGAGGAAGAGGAGGAAGCUGGGAAGAAGAGGACAAGCACAGCACAGAAGAAAAGGAGGAAGAGCAGGAGGAUGAGAAGAGGGCAGGAGGAGGAGGAGGAGGAAAAAGAGAAAUGAGGCAAGUGUCACUGCUGGACUGGAUCAGCGCCAAGGACAGCCAAAGUGACGUCAGACAGAUUGCCCAACUCUGCUGCAGGGGACUGGCCCAGAUCAACAAGGGGCUGCUGAAACUAGUGGGGCAAGAGGUCAGCGCUGUGCUUCGAGAGGCAGACCGGCCACAGAUGAAGGGGCUCGGUGAGCACCUGUGUGGCCUGGAGCAGCUCAUGCAUGAUGCCGCCUACAUGGUGCAGGAGCAGAGCAAUUUCUCACAGAAGGCCAACUUUUGCCCAAGAGCGAUGCCCCCAGAGGCCCCCAGACCAGCAUUCCUCAAGUCUCUCCCAAGACACCACCUGCCAUGCCAUCUGAAGAUGCACAACGUGGCUUUGCAGCACACCACACCACAGGCCGGUGACUCCCGUGCACCACUUGAUAGGGAAUGGUGUGUCUGUUGGCAGUGAGUGAGGGUGGUGCUGUGAAGCUGGUGGCACAGGGGCUGACCAGGGUUCUGCAGAACAGCACACCACAGCAGCAGCAGCAGCAGCAGGAGCAUUGUGUGAGGGAAGACACAGCAUGUUGAGGCAAGGCAGCAGCUGUGGAGGAGUGGACAGCUGCACCACUGACACCACCACCACCACCACUGCUCAAUGCUGCUGCUGCUGCUGCUGCUGCUACUACUACUACUACUACUACUACUACUACUACUACUACUACUACUACUCUACUACUACUACUACUACUACUACUACUACUACUACUACUACUACUACUACUACUCUACUACUACUACUACUACUGCUGCUGCUGCUGCUGCUGCUGCUGCUGCUGCUGGUUCUGCUUCUGCUGCUGCUGCUGUUCCCCUCCUCCUCCCAGCACAGAAACAGACUGUGGGGUCCUGCCACAAUGCGGCUCUCUCCUGCAGGACAUGUUCUCGUCACCUUCAUGUCCCGGACGCGUGCAUAGACUUGUGCCUCAGUAGCCUGGCCGCAACAGACUGCAGCUGUGUGCUGUGCUGUGGCUGGCCAACAGGAGGGGGCGGGCAAGCUGGCCACCCUCUGCAUCACCACCUGCUGGGGAAAGAAGAGCACCGUUGUUGUCAUCUUUGUUUUCCUUCUUUUUCCUUUUGUUUUCCUUCACUGUUUGCAGGGAAUGGUGGCAGAAUUUGUUGAUGUUGUUGUUGUUAUCUGUUUGUUAUUAAAUGAUGUGUUCAUUGUGUUGUUGUUAUUGUUGUUGUUUUGUGUGUGUGAUGAACAAAAGCAGUCCACAGUUA